rnacentral:rRNA from 1 species
GUCAAGUCAUCAUGCCCCUUAUGCCCUGGGCUACUCACGUGCUACAAUGGAUAGGACAAUGGGAUGCCACCCUGCGAAGGCGAGCUAACCCCAAAAACCUAUUCUUAGUUCGGAUUGUAGGCUGCAACUCGCCUACAUGAAGCUGGAAUCGCUAGUAAUCGCUGGUCAGCUAUACAGCGGUGAAUACGUUCUCGGGUCUU